rnacentral:rRNA from 1 species
AUUCCAGCUCCAAUAGCGUAUAUUAAAGUUGUUGCAGUUAAAAAGCUCGUAGUUGGAUUUGUGGCAGUCGCGUGCGGCCCGGCAUUCGUGCCGGUGCUUGCUAGCGUCGCCAUCCUUGGGUGGAACCUGUGUGGCAUUAGGUUGUCGUGCAGGGGAUGCCCAUCGUUUACUGUGAAAAAAUUAGAGUGUUCAAAGCAGGCUUAUGCCGUUGAAUAUAUUAGCAUGGAAUAAUAAGAUAGGACCUUGGUACUAUUUUGUUGGUUUGCGCACCAAGGUAAUGAUUAAUAGGGACAGUUGGGGGUAUUCGUAUUUCAUUGUCAGAGGUGAAAUUCUUGGAUUUUUGAAAGACGAACUACUGCGAAAGCAUUUACCAAGGAUGUUUUCAUCA